rnacentral:tRNA from 1 species
GCGAGAGUGGCGGAAUUGGUAGACGCGCCAGAUUUAGGUUCUGGUGUUUAUGACGUGCGGGUUCGAGUCCCGCCUUUCGCA